rnacentral:rRNA from 1 species
UACGGAGGGGGCUAGCGUUGUUCGGAAUUACUGGGCGUAAAGCGCACGUAGGCGGCUUUGUAAGUUAGAGGUGAAAGCCCGGGGCUCAACUCCGGAAUUGCCUUUAAGACUGCAUCGCUGAGAAUUGUGGAGAGGUAAGUGGAAUUCCGAGUGUAGAGGUGAAAUUCGUAGAUAUUCGGAAGAACACCAGUGGCGAAGGCGACUUACUGGACACAUAUUGACGCUGAGGUGCGAAAGCGUGGGGAGCAAACAGG